GGGUGCUUGCGUGGCUCCAUCGUUAUGCCUCUGCCUUCGGCUCAGGUCAUGAUCCCGGGGUCCUGGGAUCAAGCCCUGCAUUGGGCUCUCUGCCUAGCAGGC